UACGUAGGGUGCAAGCGUUGUCCGGAAUUAUUGGGCGUAAAGAGCUCGUAGGCGGUUUGUCGCGUCUGCUGUGAAAACUGGGGGCUCAACCCCCAGCCUGCAGUGGGUACGGGCAGACUAGAGUGCUGUAGGGGAGAUUGGAAUUCCUGGUGUAGCGGUGGAAUGCGCAGAUAUCAGGAGGAACACCAAUGGCGAAGGCAGAUCUCUGGGCCGUAACUGACGCUGAGGAGCGAAAGCAUGGGGAGCGAACAGG
rnacentral:rRNA from 1 species